rnacentral:rRNA from 1 species
UACGUAGGGGGCAAGCGUUGUCCGGAAUUACUGGGCGUAAAGGGCUCGUAGGCGGCCAACUAAGUCAGACGUGAAAUCCCUCGGCUUAACCGGGGAACUGCGUCUGAUACUGGUUGGCUUGAAUCCGGGAGAGGGAUGUGGAAUUCCAGGUGUAGCGGUGAAAUGCGUAGAUAUCUGGAGGAACACCGGUGGCGAAGGCGGCAUCCUGGACCGGCAUUGACGCUGAGGCGCGAAAGCCAGGGGAGCAAACGGG